rnacentral:rRNA from 1 species
CAAUAGUGUAUAUUAAAGUUGUUGCAGUUAAAAAGCUCGUAGUUGGAUUUCUGGCCUUGACGGGUUUGUCCGCCUCCAAAGGAGGUGUGUACAUCCCCGCCAGGUCACAUCUUCCAGAGGGUUCUGACGCUCUUGAUUGAGUCGUCAGUGAUCGUCUGGAUCGUUUACUUUGAGAAAAUUAGAGUGUUCAAGGCAGGCAUGAGUUGCCGUGAAUAUGUUAGCAUGGAAUAAUAAGAUAGGACUUUGGUCGUAUUUUGUUGGUUUUUACAGCCGAAGUAAUGAUUGAUAGGGACAGUUGGGGGUGCUAGUAUUCUGCGGCCAGAGGUGAAAUUCUGUGAUUCGCGGAGGACUGACUUAUGCGAAAGCAUUCACCAAGGAUGUCUUCUUUAA